GGGCGGGUGGCGAAAUGGUAGACGCACCACACUCAAAAUGUGGCGACUUCGGUCAUGAGAGUUCGAGUCUCUCCCUGCCCA
rnacentral:tRNA from 6 species